UGAAUACGAGACGCUAAGGCGUCGAAGUAGUGUAUGUCAUACUUCCAAGAAAAGCUUGCACUGUCAUAGAUAAAAAACGCCUGUACCAUAACCGACACAGGUGGGUAGGUAGAGUAUACUAAGGGGCGCGAGAUAACUCUCUCUAAGGAACUCGGCAAAAUAACUCCGUAACUUCGGGAGAAGGAGUGCCUUAUUUAUAAGGCUGCAAUAACAAGAUCCAAGCAACUGUUUAUCAAAAACACAGGUCUCCGCUAAGUCGUAAGACGAUGUAUGGGGGCUGACGCCUGCCCAGUGCCAGAAGGUUAAGGAAGUUGGUUAGCUUUUGCGAAGCUGAUAACUGAAGCCCUGGUGAACGGCGGCCGUAACAAUAACGGUCCUAAGGUAGCGAAAUUCCUUGUCGGGUAAGUUCCGACCCGCACGAAAGGCGUAAUGAUUUGGAUACUGUCUCGGAGAGGGGCUCGGUGAAAUAGACUUGUCUGUGAAGAUGCGGACUACCUGCACCAGGACAGAAAGACCCUAUGAAGCUUUACUGUAACUUGAAAUUGAAAUUGGACUUUAUUCGCGCAGCAUAGGUGGGAGGCGUUGAUUAUAAUCUCGUGGGAUUAUUGGAGCCAUCAGUGAGAUACCACUCUUGUAAUGUUAGAUUUCUAACUUUGAAUCAUUAUCUGGUCAAAGAACAGUUUCAGGCGGGCAGUUUGACUGGGGCGGUCGCCUCCUAAACGGUAACGGAGGCGUACAAAGGUUUCCUCUGAACGGUUAGAAAUCGUAUCUAGAGUGUAAAGGCAUAAGGAAGCUUGACUGUGAGACCUACAAGUCGAGCAGGGACGAAAGUCGGUCUUAGUGAUCUGACGGUACUGAGUGGAAAGGCCGUCACUCAACGGAUAAAAGUUACUCUAGGAUAACAGGCUGGUCUCCCCCAAGAGUUCACAUCGACGGGGAGGUUUGGCACCUUGAUGUCGGCUCAUCGCAUCCUGGGGCGGUAGUACGUCCCAAGGGUUGGGCUGUUCGCCCAUGAAAGCGGUACGCGAGCUGGGUUCAGAACGUCGUGAGACAGUUCGGUCCAUAUCCGGUGUAGGCGUUAGAAUAUUGAGAGGAGCCUUCUUUAGUACGAGAGGACCGAGAAGGACAUACCUCUGGUGUACCAGUUAUCGUGCCAACGGUAAACGCUGGGUAGCUAUGUAUGGAGUGGAUAACCGCUGAAAGCAUCUAAGUGGGAAGCCCACCUCAAGAUAAGUAUUCUCA
rnacentral:rRNA from 1 species